UACGUAGGGUGCGAGCGUUGUCCGGAAUUACUGGGCGUAAAGAGCUCGUAGGUGGUUUUGUCGCGUUGUUCGUGAAAACUCACAGCUUAACUGUGGGCGUGCGGGCGAUACGGGCAGACUGGAGUACUGCAGGGGAGACUGGAAUUCCUGGUGUAGCGGUGGAAUGCGCAGAUAUCAGGAGGAACACCGGUGGCGAAGGCGGGUCUCUGGGCAGUAACUGACGCUGAGGAGCGAAAGCGUGGGGAGCGAACAGG
rnacentral:rRNA from 1 species